rnacentral:ncRNA from 1 species
ACAAAUGCUUUGAUGGAGAAAAGUAGUUCAAUACCUCACUACAGGGAGGAAACGCCGGAGAUUGAGAGCGUUUCUAGAGAAAAGGGUUGAUCGAAGUUCACUCCGGAGCAGUCCCUUGAAACCAUUGUUGGCAAGUAGAGGUGUACCGGUGUUAACCGUUAAAUAUUUAAGUGAGAACAUUUCUGUUUGUUGUACAGAAUAGUUCUAAUUUAGGGUGGUACCGCGGCUCCUCGUCCCUUUU